CAAGAAAUGGAGAAACUGCAUGGUAUUAGAAAAUAACAGGAGAUGGUGGGUGGAGACCAACAAUAACACUUGAAAGAGAGGUGCGAGAGCACGUUGAGAGCAUUUCCCCCAUGUCGGGACACCAGAGAUGUGGGGGAAAGUCAGCCAAGAGGCUCAUGGGAGCAGCUCUGGAGGAGGGAUGCCUGACUUCCUGUCUUGAAUUAUCUGCUACGCUGCGUGGUGUGCACCCCAUCCCCAUCCUCCUUAAUCUUGAGUCAGGGUCUUUGAUACACCCACCGACUUGUGUGAGCGUGGGGUGGUGGAAGCUGUGGCUGGGUUGGGGUGACAUGGGACAGAGAGAAGGAGACGGUCACAGGAGGUGAGCUGUGCAUGAGUUCAAGAGGUCAGGAGGUCAGAAGAUUGGAACAAGAGGUGACCAUGGGACUGUCACUCCCACGGAGUUUGCAGAAAUCUUGGGCAGGUUGUUGAGGAUGACUGUUCACC
rnacentral:lncRNA from 1 species